CCUGCUUUGGCAGGCGGGUUGGACCCGAUGAUCUUUCGAGGUCCCUUCCAACCCCUUCGAUUCUGUGAUUCUGUGAAAAGUAUGCCUUCAAAUGUCUUCUCUCUGAGCUGCAGACCUUCCAACAGACCAUCCUCAGAAGUGCCAUGCUGACCUUUCAUCUGCCUCAUGGAGAUGAUGGUAGGACUAUCAUCUCUGACCAAAAAUCUGCCCUGACCUAAUACCUAGAUUUUGACUGAAACGUGUAAUUUAGAGAGAUAUCCUGUUCUGCUGUUCAGUAGCCCCAAAUCCCCCGCUGCAAAGGAUCUUCAUAGCCAAGCCUUUUUUUCUUCAUGGAGAAGCAUCCCUUCACCUAUCUAUGAAGCACUUGGCUGCCACUCUCUUUGCUUGCCUGCGCAAGGGUGAAAGGCAAUUAAUUGUUCAGUGAUGGACUGCACACUGGGACUGUCAUGAUCAGCUUCUUCUUUCUCCAGUUGCCUUUCAGUUUGUCCCAGAGGACACUCCUGAUGCAAGGGCACUUGGUUUCAGAGAAAAGCCAAAAACCUGAAAGCAAACAACACCUGAAGAUAAACAACCAUACACCUGCAGAAUGUAUUUAUUUGGUAGAAUGUUACUCCCUGAGAGAGCAGUCACGGCUUGUAACUUGUAGGGAGAUGAACAUGGAGAGACAUUAGGAGACUGAAACAGCAUCUAGAACUUUGGGCAGAGAAAAAUAAGAAAGGUGGAGGUGAUAGACUUAAUUUUCAGGGCUCCUUCAUAUAAAAAGGAUGUUAAGGUACUUGAAUGCAUCCAGAAGAGGACAACAAAGCUGGUAAAAGGGCUGGAAGGUAUGUCCUAUGAAGAAAACUGUAGAAUCAUAGAAUAUCCCAAGUUGGAAGGGACCCACAAGGCUCAUCAGCUCCUGUGUCCACACAGGACAACCCAGAAAUCAGAUAAUAUGUCUGAGAGUGUUGUCCAAAUGCUUCUUGAAUCCCGUCAGGCUCGGUGUCGUGACCACUUCCUUGGGGAGCCUGUCCCAGUGCCCGACCACAAAGUCUGUAAGACUAUUUCACACAAAAUAUGAAAACACACAGUCUAUUUGGAAUUUUAAGCAUAAUAGGAAGUUCUUCAGAAUGUUAUAUUUUUAUUUAUUUAUUUUUCCUCCAUACAUUCUGAGUGUUUUCUGGAGGAGCUGGCAUUGUCACAACUUGGCCAUUGGUUCAGACCUUUACAAUGCCAGUGGAGUACAUUAACCAUGCUCCUGUAGUGAAUCAUUCCUCUUAGCUUCAUACAAAAUGCAUCCAGUACAUGUACACUAGGACUGUUCCAAAACAUGAACUAGAGAUGGUGGGUGAGGAAUUAGAGAUAUGCUUGAAAAAAUACAGUUCCGCUCCAACACCUUUUGGAAAGCUGAAGUACUUGGCUGUACAUGUGUGUACAAAGGAAAAUGUCUUGUACAAAUAACAUAAGGGUAGGAAGGGAAGCUGCUCACAGAACACCAAGCAACAAGGUGCCUGAGCAAUGAAUGGCCCUUUUUUGAAACGUUUUACAGUAGUUUCUCCAUAGUUUUAGACAUCUAGUAUGAUAAUGUGGGGACAAUUGUAUAAAUAUAUGUGCAUACACAUGUGGGUAUGUGUGUUUUGACGUGUUUUUAUGAAAAGGAUGUGUUUCUGGGAAACAAUGAACAGCAUGAAAAGGUGUAUAGACAAAUGAUUCCCUGUAUUCAGAAUCAAGAAUGAAAAGAGGUUGAAGAGACAUGAUAUGUUCACAGAUAAUAGUGAUUUUACAAUAUGUUUCACUGUGUCAGUCACAUUAAAUGCUUUUCAGGCAUGUUCAGAGGCCUUUGCAUUACAAAGGUGUUUCUAGUACACAUAGGUAUGGUGAGAGCUUGUUGGAGAUGAGAAGCCUGCUGCAUUUUUCACUACUACAAAAUUUGUAUCCCC
rnacentral:lncRNA from 1 species